GAUGAACGCUGGCGGCGUGCCUAAUACAUGCAAGUCGAACGAAACUUCUUUAUCACCGAGUGCUUGCACUCACCGAUAAAGAGUUGAGUGGCGAACGGGUGAGUAACACGUGGGCAACCUGCCCAAAAGAGGGGGAUAACACUGGAAAACAGGUGCUAUUACGGCAUAACAAUAGUUACCGCAUGGUAACAUUGUAAAAGGUGGCUAUACUACGGCUUUUGGUUGGGCCCGCGGCGCAUUAGCUAGUUGGUAGGGUAAAGGCUUACCAAGGCAAUGAUGCGUAGCCGAAUUGAGAGGUUGAUCGGCCACAUUGGGACUGAGACACGGCCCAAACUCCUACGGGAGGCAGCAGUAGGGAAUCUUCCACAAUGGGCGAAAGCCUGAUGGAGCAACGCCGCGUGGGUGAAGAAGGUCUUCGGAUCGUAAAACCCUGUUGUUAGAGAAGAAAGUGCGUGAGAGUAACUGUUCACGUUUCGACGGUAUCUAACCAGAAAGCCACGGCUAACUACGUG
rnacentral:rRNA from 1 species